UACAGAGGGGGCAAGCGUUGUUCGGAAUUACUGGGCGUAAAGGGCGCGUAGGCGGCCCGCUAAGUCGAACGUGAAAUCCCCAGGCUUAACCUGGGAACUGCGUCCGAUACUGGCAGGCUUGAAUCCGGGAGAGGGAUGUGGAAUUCCAAGGUGUAGCGGUGAAAUGCGUAGAUAUCUGGAGGAACACCGGUGGCGAAGGCGGCAUCCUGGACCGGCAUUGACGCUGAGGCGCGAAAAGCU
rnacentral:rRNA from 1 species